UACGUAGGGUGCAAGCGGUAAUCGGAAUUACUGGGCGUAAAGCGUGCGCAGGCGGUUUUGUAAGUCUGACGUGAAAUCCCCGGGCUCAACCUGGGAAUUUCGGUGGAGACUGCAAGGCUUGAAUCUAGCAGAGGGGGGUAGAAUUCCACGUGUAGCAGUGAAAUGCGUAGAGAUGUGGAGGAACACCGAUGGCGAAGGCAGCCCCCUGGGUCAAGAUUGACGCUCAUGCACGAAAGCGUGGGGAGCGAACAGG
rnacentral:rRNA from 1 species